AGCACAUUUCUAAAUUUAUAACACAAAAAUAGCACUCAAAAACUAAAAUGACCAAAAUAGCAACUUUCGAAGUUUAUCCUUUGAAAAUUUUAAUUUUUUUAUUUUUCAAAAUUUGAAAUCUUAUCCCCAAAACCUCAUUUCUCAACUCUAAACCCUAAACCUUAAACUCUAAACCCUAAACCAUAAACCCUAAACCCUAAACUCUAAACCCUAAACCCUAAACCCUAAAUUCUAAACCCUAAACCCUAAAAUAUAAACCCUAAACCCUAAACCCUAAAUCCUAAACCCUAAAUCCUAAACCCCACCCUUUAACU
rnacentral:lncRNA from 1 species